rnacentral:rRNA from 1 species
UGAUCAGCCACACUGGAACUGAGAUACGGUCCAGACUCCUACGGGAGGCAGCAGUGGGGAAUAUUGGACAAUGGGCGAAAGCCUGAUCCAGCCAUGCCGCAUGAGUGAAGAAGGCCUUCGGGUUGUAAAGCUCUUUUGGUGAGGAAGAUAAUGACGGUACUCACAGAAAAAGUCCUGGCUAACUCCGUGCCAGCAGCCGCGGUAAUACGGAGAGGGCUAGCGUUAUUCGGAACUAUUGGGCGUAAAGGGCGCGUAGGCGGGUUGGUAAGUUAAAAGUGAAAUCCCAAAGC